CAGCGUCCCGAGUGGCGAUCCUGUUUAUUUGGCCUAAAGCGUCCGUAGCUGGUUUUGUAAAUCUUUUGUGAAAUUGUUCAGCUUAACUGAACAGCGCGCAGGAGAGACUGCAUGACUAGGGACCGGGAGGAGUCAGAAAUAUAUCGGGGGGAGCGGUAAAAUGCUAUAAUCCUCGAUAGAUUACCUGUGGCGAAGGCGUCUGACUAGAACGGGUCCGACAGUGAGGGACGAAAGCUAGGGGAGCAAACCGGAUUAGAGACCCGAGUAGUCC
rnacentral:rRNA from 1 species